UGAGCACUUGUGUCAGCAAAUGAGACUGUCGACCACCAAAUGAAGCCUGCUGUAGAGUUUCUCAAACUUCAGAUGGGGGCACACAUUUCCCACUGACAGCUGCUAUGGUAUACUGUGAUGGAGCUGUAGGGGAUGAAGCCAAGAGGGAGGCAAAUGAAGACUUGGUUGAAAGUGAAGACCUACCAAAGAACCACCACCCUAAGCCCUCUUCAAAGUCUCCAGCAAGCAAUUCUUCAUUCGUGGCACCAGAUUCAACCUCUUCAUGAUGUCACUUCAGUUCCAAGACUACAGCCAUCUCUGACUUGAUUUCCUGUCAGUCACAUAUUUAU